rnacentral:lncRNA from 1 species
CUUUGUAUGUUCGAAGUUGGGCACACGAGGUAGAACGACCAAAUGGAGCUGAUCUACACUUUUGGUCCGUAAGAAAUGACCAAAGAGAUCCAUAUCUUCCAGUGUAGGAAUCCUAAAAUACAUCAAUCUUGUCUUUUCCUGUACGUGCAACCCUUCACCAGCACAAUUAGCUAUUAAACUGGAGUAAAGAAUCAUACCAGAUUUGCGUCCAUGUGACGCAUUACCGCCGUGGGCGUUCAGCUGGCUUGCAGGUCAUCCCCAUGUGGGCACUUAAGUUGCAGUUGGACUGGGUCGUUGCUAGCAGACAGAAAAAUUCAAUGGACUCGGUGAAUGUCAGAUUUAAUAAAGAAAAAUUUAAAAACUCGCUAAUGAACCGUGUAGUUAGUCCUAUUCACCCAGUACCGGAAGGGUAAGAACAACAA